GGAGAGGUGCCCGGAGUGGUUUAUCGGGGACCUGAGUUUCGGCUCGAAGGUCGGGUUCAAUGGACCCGCGCAGGUUCGAAUCCUGCCCUCUCCG
rnacentral:tRNA from 1 species